rnacentral:rRNA from 1 species
GACGAACGCUGGCGGCGUGCUUAACACAUGCAAGUCGAACGGAAAGGCCCUGCGUUUGUGGGGUGCUCGUGUGGCGAACGGGUGAGUAAAACGUGUGUAACCUGCCCUUGUCUUUGGGAUAACUUCAGGAAACAGGGGCUAAUACCGGAGAGGAGCUCCUGCUGCACGUGGGGGGUUAGAGAGAUUCGGCGGUUGGGGAUGGACUCGCGGCUUAUCAGCUUGAUGGUGGGGUAGUGGCGUACAAAGGCUUUGACGGGUAGCCGGCCUGAGAGGGUGACCGGCGACAUUGGGACUGCGAGACGGCCCAGACGCCUACGGGAGGCAGCAGUGGGGAAUAUUGCGGAAUGGGCGGAAGCCUGAUGUAGCAAUGCCGCGUGCGGGAUGACGUCCUACGGGUUGAAAACAGCUGUCGCCGGUGACGAAGAGUGAGUGACGGUAACGGGUAAAGAAGCACCGGCUAACUACGUG